rnacentral:lncRNA from 1 species
GUGAUUCUCCACUACUUUAUGUAUCCAAAUCAAGCUUCUUACAUCGCGGUUCAUCCUGGUUUGAUAAGAAUGACGAAGAAGUUUUCAUAUUCCCAAACAGAAAAAACUAUGAUCACCUGAUUUGAAAGUGGGAUAGCUUCUUCAUCCUAACUCCUAUGAGAUUUAUUCAAACUUCCUGGUGAUUCUCCACUACUUUAUGUAUCCAUAUCAAGCAUCUUACAUCCCGGUUCAUGCUGGUUUGAUUAGAAUGACGAAGAAGUUGUAAUAUUCCCAAACAGAAAAACUGGGAUCACCUGAUUUCAAAGUGGGAUAGCUUCUUCAUCCUAACUCCUAUGAGAUUUAUUCAACUUUCUGGUGAUUCUCCACUAAUUUAUGUAUCCAAAUCAAGCUUCUUACAUCGCGGUUCAUCCUGGUUUGAUAAGAAUGACGAAGAAGUUGUCAUAUUCCCAAACAGAAAAACUGGGAUCACCUGAUUUGAAAGUGGGAUAGCUUCUUCAUCCUAACUCCUAUGAGAUUUAUUCAAACUUCCUGGUGAUUCUCCACUACUUUAUGUAUCCAUAUCAAGCUUCUUAUAUCGCGGUUCAUCCUAGUUUGAUAAGAAUGAAGAUGUUGUCAUAUUCUCAAACAGGAAAACUGGGAUCACCUGAUUUUAAAGUGGGAUAGCUUCUUCAUCCUAACUCCGAUGAGAUUUAUUCAAACUUUCUGGUGAUUCUCCACUACUUUAUGUAUCCAAAUCAAGCAUCUUACAUCUCGGUUCAUCCUGGCUUGAUAAGAAUGACGAAGAAGUUAUCAUAUUCUCAAACAGGAAAACUGGGAUCACCUGAUUUGAAAGUGGGAUAGCUUCUUCAUCCUAACUCCUAUGAGAUUUAUUCAAACUUCCUGGUGAUUCUCCACUACUUUAUGUAUCCAAAUCAAGCUUCUUACAUUGCGGUUCAUCCUAGUUUGAUAAGAAUGACGAAGAAGUUGUCAUAUUCUCAAACAGGAAAACUGGGAUCACUUGAUUUGAAAGUGGGAUAGCUUCUUCAUCCUAACUCCUAUGAGAUUUAUUCAACUACCUGGUGAUUCUCCACUACUUUAUGUAUCCAUAUCAAGCUUCUUACAUCGCGGUUCAUCAUGGUUUGAUAAGAAUGACAAAGAAGUUGUCAUAUUCCCAAACAGAAAAACUGGGAUCACCUGAUUUGAAAGUGGGAUAACUUCUUCAUCCUAACUCCUGUGAGAUUUAUUCAAACUUCAU